GACGAACGCUGGCGGCGUGCUUAACACAUGCAAGUCGAACGAGUGGCGAACGGGUGAGUAACACGUGGGUGACCUGCCCUGCACUUCGGGAAAAGCCUGGGCAACUGGUUCUAAUACCGGAUAGUGUUGGAUGGGCCCGCGGCCUCUCAGCUUGUUGGUGGGGUAAGGCCUACAACGGCGCGACGGGUAGCAGGCAUGAGAGGGUGGACAUCCACAUUGGGACUGAGACACGGCCCAGACUCCUACGGGAGGCAGCAGUGGGGAAUAUUGCACAAUGGGCGGAAGCCGGAUGCAGCGACGCCGCGUGUAUGAAGAAGGCCUUAGGGUUGUAAAGCUCUGUUGUUAGAAAAGCGGUAUCUAACCAGAAAGCCACGGCUAACUACGUGCCAGCAGCCGCGGUAAUAC
rnacentral:rRNA from 1 species